UUACAAGGCUCCAAUACAGAAGGUACAGCUCAUUGCUACAGAGGCUAGAAUCAAAGGGAGCAUGAGCUCCAAUACAGAAAGAAGUUUGGUUUAUCCCGUUUCUUUGUUAUCUGUAUUGAGAUGCAACUGAUAAUAAUAAGUUCAUCACGAGGACACAAGUGUAGCUUUGAAGUCAAGUAUGGCUUGUGGAUAUGUGGAGAAACAUGUAUGUAUGAAAGCCAUCAGGUUCAGAACCAUAUUUCCUAGCAGGCCAGUCUCCAACAGAACUCGCAGUAAGCCAAGAAUAUACUUUUAUUGUUAUGCAGCAUCUCUAUUGGAAGUUGAAGUCUCUGCAUGGCAUCAAUCCAUUUCCAAUCUGAUCACCUUGCAGCACUAUCGCGCCAUUACUCUGCUUAAUAUAAAUUCUUUCCAGUCCAUCAGCACGAGGCUUCCUAUUUACAAGUCUACCACAAGCCUAAGUCGCCGCUGCAUAUGUACAUAUGUACUACAAGUUUUCGCCGCUGCACUAAAAUAACCUGUAGGAAUGAUCUAAAUGGUUGAACCUCAGUCGGAUUUUCACUGCAAGUGUUGGAAUAUCACUAUGUUGUAAAUAGUUGUUCCAGUAUUUGUUUCCGAAGGAAAUAUUUGUGUGAGAAGGCAUUACUGUAAUAACUUUGAAGUAUGCCUUGUUGCUAUUGUAAUUUUGAAUUUUUCAUGAAACUGAG